UAUGGGUCUCUAAGGGUGGGAGGGUUGCAGGAGGGGGUCUGGUUUUAACUGGGAAUCCCAAAGCCAGAGCUAUGCCUAAAGUUAGUGGGUGUGGAUUCCUGAGAAAUCUCCUCAUCAUUACAAAGCAUUUACUGAGCCAUAUUAAUUUCUCGUGAAGGAGUGUUUCUGGAAAUGAGAUUUAGAAGGUGUGGGAGAAUUAUUUUCUGGGUGAGUGGCUGAAGCAGCAGCAUACUAUGGUAAGGUGAUCAACUGUCCUGAUUUGCCUGGGACUGUACCAACUUUUGCAAUAAAAUUCAGUCCCCCUUUCAGAGUACCCAGGACUCGGCUCAUAUGCCAGCUCCCUGUAAAGGCCUUUCCUGACCAUUAUCUGAGAUACCCUGUCCCCAGUGCUCACAUCCUGUUCCCUCAGAAGGAAUUUCUCCAUAACACUUAUCCUUCCUUGCAGUCAUCUUGCUUAUUUGUUUAUUGUCUCUUAUCCAAAACUAGAAUAUAAGCUCCAGGAAGGCAGGGACUUUGGCUUCUCACUAUUGUGUUCCCAGUGCAUAGAACAGGGCCAGGCACACAGAAGGUGCUCAUUAUAUGUUCUUUUUUUAAUGCCCCGAUCCCACCUCCUCCCUCCCAUUAUAUAUUUGUUGAGUGAGUGAAAAAAAAUAUAUAUAUAUUUUGUUUCAAGUACUGUGCUAAGCUCUGAUUAUACAAUGGUGAGAAAAAACAGAAAUGGUCUUUGUACUCAUGAAGCAUAGUAGAGGAGAAAUACAUUAAUGACAUAUUUCUACCUACACAAGUAAAAUUAUACCCGGGAUGAAUGAAUGGCUGAAUAGGGGCCUGAAGGAGAGGAGCUGAUGCUAUAAGAAGAUAGGAUGCUGGAUGGAGUUGGCGGCCCAGUGACAGCGAAGGCUUGUCUAAGGAAGUAAUGAUUGAGUUGAGUCUAAAGGAUGAAGAAGAAAAUGCUUUCUAGGAAGUGGGAACUGCACAUGCAGAUGCCCUGCAGCAGAAUGGAGCAGGAGUGUAUGGAAAACCACAAGCAGGCCCUGUGGUUGCAGUGCCCAGAGCAAGAUGACUCAUGACGUUGAGGGCAAGAGCUGAGAGGCAGGUACAGGCAAGCCAUCCAGGACCUUGUACAUUGGAGACCUUGCUGAAGAUUUGGCUGUUUUUCCUAAGAAUGAAUGGUGAGAAAUCACUGAAGGGUUUUAAGUAUGUGUGUAUUUGUGUGUGUAUGUCAAUCAGUCUUUGCCGUGACCUUUCCGUAGAUUAUCAGGGCUCCUCCAUCCAAGUGGCUAAAGGAUUAAAUAGUUAAAAUUAAUUAGGAAAAGGACAAUGAAAAUGUUAACAAUUAUUAGCUCUUAUAGUCUUAGUUCUCUUCUGUCUUCUGCUGGACUAAAUAUGGCAUUAAGGACAAAAGGGUGGGGAGCAAAGCUUAAGGCCAAAUAGAUUUUUGAGGAAUCUUUCUAGAGCUUGGUACUCAAUGAAGAACAUAAACUGCGAAGCUAGUGUAUUCAAAGCACUCUUCUAGGCUCUGUGGGCAGAGACUAAGGAAACCACAAGAAUGUUCUUCCCCCUUAGGGAGCUUAGAUAUUAAAUAAGAGGUAUGAAAAUGAGAGCACAGGACAGACCCAGGAACAGUUCAACAAAUACUGCUACUGAGAUACCCGGCACAUGGUGAUAUACAGCCUCCCCUGAGCAAAGUCCAUGUCUGAGUCAUUUCUGUUCCUCCCACAGACAUUAGCCAAGUGCCUUGCCCACAAGAUGCACCAAAUGAAUGAAGCUGAGGCUGCUCACUUAAGGAGAGAAAAGCAAUUAGUCAGUAGACAAGCCAGGCCUCUAGUGACACUUCCAUUAUACAAAUGCUUCUAACAGAAUGUAAGCUCCAUGAAGACAGAACUUUGUGUCCCUUUUUGGUUGUCCACUGGUGUGUCUUUGAUGCCUAGUACAUUGUCGUUCAACAGUAUUUGUUGAGUAAAGAAUUUAUUAGCUUACGUUAGAGCCUGUGUAAUGUUAGAGGACUUUGUGAGGAAUGGGUUAAGUAAAUUAAUUUUCCCUCCAUAUGAUGGGGGGUACUAGUCAGCAUCUAGAGCAUGUCAUGGAAGAAGUCUUACUGAUGAGGCAGUGUAGCAAAAGCACAGGCCAUGGAGGCCAAGUGCCUGCAGCAGAAGCCUGGUUCUGCCACUCCCAGUGGUGUGACUUUGGGGAGCUUAUUAUUUAAUCUCUCUGUAAUGCUGUUUCCUCAACUGUGAAAUGGGUAUAAGACUGCACACCUUUGAAGUCUUAUGAGAACUAAUGAGGUAAUGCAUACUGAGUUCAUGUAUGUAGGGUAUGUAGGGCAGUGCUUGAUUCAGAGUAAAUACCUCGUGAAUAUUAGUUUAAAGUGCUUUACAUAUAUUGACUUUUUAAAUCCUCACAACAACCCUCGGAAGUAUUAUCAUGAUCCCCAUUUUAUAGCAAGUGAUACAUAACAGUAAUUUCCUUGAAUGUGAUAGGUAGAAAUUGGAGGGUUUUGAGGAAAGGCAUAACAUGAUCUAAUUUAUAGUUUCACAAGAUUCCUGUAUCUGUUAUAUGAAAACAGACUGAGGAGAGUGGAGGGGAGUGAGGACAGAACCAAGGAUACCACUUAGGAAACUCCAGCAAGAAUCCAGGCGAGUUUUAAUGCUGUCUUGCCUCAGGGCAGUGGUUGGUGGUGUAAAAACCAUCUGAUUUACAUUAUCUUUUGAAGACAGAAUUCAAAGGAUUUGCUGAUGGAAUGGAAAGACGGGAGGUAUGAAAGAGAUGAGUCAUGAAUGCCUCUACUAUUUUGGAUCCAAUCAACCAAAAGGAUGAAAUUGCUAUUAGCUAAACCAGGAAAGACUGCAGGCGGAGAGAGGUGAGGAAGCUGCAGAAUUUGGAAGCCAGCAGAAGUCGGUUCAUGAGGUUUAAGGAAAGAAGAAAUCUCCGUAGCAUAAAAGUCCAAAGUGAACGAAGUGCUAUGUUGAAGCUGUAGCAAGUUCUCCAGAAGAUCUAGGUAAGAUUAUUGAUGAAGGGAGCUACAUGAAAUAACAGAGUUUCAGUGUUGAUGAAACACCCCUAUAUUGGCAAAAGAUGCCAUGUAGGACUUUCAUGGCUAAAGAGAAGUCAAUGCCUGGCUUCAAAGCUUCAAAGGACAGGCUGACUCUCUUGUUAGGGUCUAAUGCAGCUGGUGAUUUUAAAGUUGAAGCCAGUGUACAUUCACCAUUCUGAAAAUCCUAGGGCCCUUAAGAAUUAUGCUAGAUCUACUCUGCCCGUGCUCUAGAAAUAGAACAACAAAGCCUGGAUGACAGCAAUGUUUACAACGUGGUUUGCUGAGGUUUUUUUGCUUUUUUGUAUUUUUAGUACAGAUGGGGUCUCACCAUGUUGCCCAGGUUGUUCUCAAACUCCUGAGCUCAAGCAGUCCCUGCCUCAGCCUUCCAAAGUGCUGGGAUUACAGGCGGGAGCCAUGGUGCCCAGCUGGCUUACUGAGUAUUUUAAGCCUACUGUUGAGAGCUACUGCUCAGAAAAAAAAAGAUUCCUUUCAAAAUAUUACUGCUCAGUGACAGUGCUCAAUGAAUUAGUCAACUACUCUGAUGGAGAUAUACAGGGAGAUGAAUGUUGUUUUCAUCUCUGCUAACACAGUGUCCAUUCUGAAGCCCAUAGAUGGAGUAAUUUCGACUUUCAAGUCUUAUUAUUUAAGAAAUACAUUUCAUGGGAGGCCGAGGCAGGUGGAUCAUGAGGUCAAGAGUUCGAGACCAUCCUGGUCAACAAGGUGAAACCCCGUCUCUACUACAAAUACAAAAAAUUAGCUGGGCAUGGUGGCGCAUGCCUGUAAUCCCAGCUACUCGGGAGGCUGAGGCAGGAGAAUUGCCUGAACCCAGGAGGUGGAGGUUGUGGUGAGCCGAGAUUGCGCCAUUGCACUCCAGCCUGGGUAACAAGAGCGAAACUCCAUAUCAAAAAAAAAAAAAAAAAAAGAAAGAAAUGAAUUUCAUAAGGCUAUAACUGCCAUAGUAAUUUCUCUGAGGGAUCUGGGCAAAGUCAAUUAAAACCUUUUUGAUAAAGAUUCAUCAUUCUAGAUGUCAUUCGGAACAGUUUUUAUUCGCAGGAGGAAGUCAAAAUAUCAACAUUAACAGGAGUUUGGAGGAAGUUGACUCCAAUCCUCACAGAUGACUUUGAGGGGUUUAAGACUUCAGUGAGUGAAGUAACUGCAGAUGUGGUGAAAAGAGCAAGAGAACUAAAAUUAGAAGUGGAGCUUGAAGAUGUAACAGAAUUGCUGCAAUCUCAUGGUAAAACCUAAACAGAUAAGGAGUUGCUUCUUAUGAAUAAGCAAAGAAAGCUUUUUCUUUCUUUCUCCCUUUCCUUUUCUUUUUCUUUCUCUCACUCUCUGUCUCGUUCUCUCUCACACACACUUGUGCGCGCGUGCUCUCUCUCUCUUUCUUUCUUUCUUUUUUUUCUUUUCAAGACAGAGCCUUGAUCUGUUGUUCAGGCUGGAGUGCUGUGGCAUGAUCUUAGCUCACUGCAAACUCCACCUCCCGGGCUCAGGUUCAGGUGAUCCUCCCAUCUCAACCUCUCAAGUAACAGGGAUAACAGGCAUGUGCCACCACACCUGGCUAAUUUUUGUACUUUUUUGAGACAGAGUUUUACCCCAUUACCCAGGCUAGUCUUGGACCCCUGGGUUCAAGCAAUCCACCCACCUUGGCCUCCCAAAGUUCUGGGAUUACAGGUGUGAGCCACCGUGCCAAAUUGAAAAUGGUUUCUUGAGAUGGCCUCCUUAUGAAGGUGCUCCUUAUGAAGGUGCUAUGAACAUUGUUAACAUGACAACAAAGGAUUUAGAGUUUAGUUGAUAAAGCAGCAGCAGGGUUUGAGAGGAUUAACUCUAAUUUUGAAAGAAGUUAUGCUGUGAGUAAAAUGCUAUCAUACAGCAUCUCAUGUUACAGAAAGGGAAAGUCCAUUGUUGUGGCAACUUCAUUGUUGUCUUAUUUUAAGAAAUUGCCAAAAUCACCCCAACAUUUGGCAACUACCAGCCUGAUUAGUCAGCAGCUAUCAGCAUCCAGACAAGACCCUCCACCAGCAAAAAUAUUAUAUGACUUGCCGAAGGCUCAGAUUGUUCAGACAUUUUUGAACAAUAAAGUGUUUUUUAGUUAAAGUAUGUACAUUUUUUUAAAGACAUAACGCUAUUGCAUUCUUUUUUUUUUUGAGAUGGAGUCUUGCACUGUUGCCCAGGCUGGAGUGCAGUGGUACAAUCUCAGCUCACUGCAACUCCAUCUCCUGAGUUCAAGCUAUUCUCCUGCCUCAGUCCCCUGAGUAGCUGGGAUUACAGGCACCUGGCACCAUGCCCAGCUAAUUUUCAUAUUUUUAGUAGGGACAGGGUUUUCAACAUGUUGGCCAGGCACAUUGCAUUCUUAGUAGACUGCAGUAUAGUGUAAACAUAAAUUUUAUAUAUAUUGGGGAACCAAAACAUUUGUGUGACUUGCUUUAUUGUGAUAGUCACUUUAUUGCAAUGGCUGGAACUGAACAGUAUCGCUAAGGUAUGCCUGUAUAUGUGAUGGUGCUUGAGAUGCCAAGCCCUUGGAUGAUGGAUGAUGUGAAGUCGUGGGCCUCAAGGGGCUCAUGACCCUUACAGUCUGCCCUGAAAUGAAGUACAGCUUCUUCCCUUAGGGACCAACUCAAAAUGGCCUGAGGUUAUCCCUGUGGCUAGGCUGGGCCACUGGGGCUGGAUGCUGGAAUUGGAAGAAGGACCCUGGGGAGGAAGCCUCAGGGAAUAUUCAGGGGACAGAAGCUCCCAGGUUUCUUCAUGGUCUUGUUUCGACUUAGUACUCCAGGUAGGAAAGAAACCAAAGGGAGGUAGCACAAGGUAAGCAAAAGUUAGCUGAUGAUGUAGGUUAUCCACACGUUUUAAGAAAAUUUCCUGGCUGGGCGUGGUGGCUCACGCCUAUAAUCCCAGCACUUUCAGAGGCUGAGGUGGGCUGAUCACCUGAGAUCAGGAGUUUGAGACCUACCUGGUCCAACAUGGUGAAACCUUGUCUCUACUAAAAAUACAAAACUUAGCUGGGUAUGGUGGCAGGCACCUGUAAUCCCAGCUACUAAGAAGGCUGAGGCAGGAGAAUCACUUGAACCCAGAAGGCGGAGGUUGCAGUGAACAGAGAUCGUGCCAUUGCACUCCAGCCUGGGUGACAAGAGUGAGGUUACAUCUCAAAAAUAAAUAAAUAAAUAAAGGAAAAAAGAAAAUUCCCUAGGUUUUAUAGCUCACUCCAAUGGGCCAAACAUGUUUCAUUAAUUUUGAAAAUAACCCACUUUUAAGAACAAAUUUACCCUGUUCUGAAAUGCACAGUUAUUUAUAGGAGAAGCUCAGCACUUCAGGACUACAAAAUGGACUAGGAGAUGAGAAAAGCCUGGUUUGGCUAAGAUGGAUGACAGGCAACCUCACAAAUGGAAAUAUAUUCCCACUCAUUCUAUUAAUGGUGUGCAAGAAAACUUGAGGUCCUUGUUGACACUUAUGGUAUAUAGAUGACACGGGCCCCACCCCUACUGUGAAGAUCAGAGUGAAGAAUUUCCCAGCCUUGCCACCAUUUAAACAAUGUCUUAGUUUCUCUCUCCCUCUUUCUCCACUCUCUGCAUGUGGGUGCACAUGUGGGUGUGCAUGUGUUGGGGAGGUGGCUUAAGGAUUUCAAAGAAUAUGCUGGUAGUAGUUUUAGGAGUAAGUCAUAUAAUUGUUGUGUUUCUUCUUCUAGCUUUAAGGAGGAAAAUUCAGGGGAAGAGAUUAUUAAUUCCAGUUUGAAAAGUGCUUUGAGAUCCUCUAAUGAAGGGUUUUAGAAGUAUGAACAUGUUUCCUGAAUGUGUGCUUACAACAUCUAAUGUCUAGCUGGAGUGCAGACAUCUACACCAGCAGCAAGCAGUCACCUACCGCAGGAACUGACCGGGAGGCAGCAGCGUGUGCUAGUUAAACUUCCGACUCCAGAUCCAGCUUGAAUUCCUGAUCUGCUGCUCCCACCCUCAUGACUUUAGGCAAGUUACUCAACUCCUCCAAAUCACAACUUCCUCAUCUGUGAAACAGGAUAGGGUUAUUAUCCUUUCUGUGUUACUGUGAGAAUUAAAAGUAUAAUUAUAUAUAAUGCUUACAAUAGGAUGUGAUGCAUAAGAAGCACCAGAUAAGUACUUGCUGCUGCUUCUAUCAUCAUUAUCAUUAUCUUCUAAGAAACCGUAGGCUGAUUUAAAGCAAAUUAUUAUAAUUAUUUCUGUAACUAUUAUUAAUAAGGCCUCCUAAAGAAAUUAAGGUUGCUUUAAAGCAAAAUACUCAAGAGGAUAGAAUUAUUUUUGGUGCUCUCCUACUUCUAUUCUUAGCUUCUCUCUUUUCCUUUUAGUUUUUCCAAAUUUUUGAUAGCGUACUCAAGGUUUUAGUAAUGUGGCUGGUCACAGUGGCUCAUGCCUGUAAUCCUAGCACUUUGGGAGGCUGAGGUGGGAGGAUCGCUUGAGCCCAAGAGUUUGAGACCAGCCUGGGCAAUACAGUGAGACUCCAUCUCUCUCUCAAAAAAAAAUUAGUGAUGUGUAAAACAUAUCCUCUAUCAGUGUAACUAAUUUAGUCACACAUACAUACGGGUUUUAAUUCAUACUUUUAAAGGACACUGGAAGCUUGAAUUUUUUUUCUGAAAAACAAAUAGAUCUUAUAGACUUCUAGAACUUUGAAACUGGAUUUCAGGGAACGUCUAGUUCAACUCCACAGUAGGCAAAUGAUUCAUCUUUAGAGAUAGGAGUGACUGGUUAGUGGCAGAGUGGGCCCAGAGUCUUAGGUUAAGCUAGACAACUAAGAGCCGUGAACAUGUGGCGCAUGGUGUGGCUUCUCGUACACCUGUUUCCACUGAACUGCACUGUGACAAUAUACCAGGAAAGGAUCAGACUGUCUGCAAACCCAUUACUUUAUGCACUGAAGAGGGGUGUUGCUAAGGGCGAUAUCCUGAUCCUCUUUAUGAAUACUCUUGAGGAGCAGUAUUGAAAAUAGUUAUUGCUUUUGGAACAACUGUUUUUUUUCUUUAAUUUUUUUGUUAUUUAAAAAAGUAUUAUUAUUUUGAUUACCAAAUCAUAGUUACAUACAAAACCAGUUUGUUUUCAUUGGAUGAACACCAUGAACUUUUAAUCUAUUAAUGUAUCACAUUUUUGUGUUGGCUACUAGGAAGCUCAAGGACAAAUUUACAUUCUGUGUCUGUGGUUAGAAGCCAAAAGCUUCCACAAAUUGCAGUUAUAUAUUAGCGCUGAACACCUUGUAGCCAGCUUUCCUAAACUUUGAUCUAUUAAAAAAGGGAGUGUUGGAGCCCUUUCCAUUGUAUGCUUUACUUUUUUCUUGGAUAUUCAUGGUGUACACAUUAGCAUCUUAAAGGUUCUGGGAAGUCUGACAGUUUUAAAUAAAAACAAAAGAGCUUUAAAGGUUUGUUCAGCCUUGUACUUGUAAAACUUACCUGAUUACAUAAUCUUUAAAAAUAUUAUCUCAAGCCGUGCAUGGUGGCUCACACCUGUAAUCCCAGCACUUUGGGAGGCCCAGGAGGCAGAUCACGAGGUCAGGAGACUGAGACCAUCCUGGCUAACAUGUCUCUACUGAAAAUACAAAAAAUCAGCCAGGCGUGGUGGUGCGUGCCUGUAGUCCCAACUACUUGGGAGGCUGAGGCAGGAGAAUCGCUUGAACCUGGGAGGUGGAGGUUGCAGUGAGCCAAGAUUGUGCCACUUCACUCCAACCUGGGUGACAGAGGGAGACUGUCUCAAAUAUAUAUAUAUAUAUUUUAUAUUUUAUAUAUAUAUAAAUAUAUAUAUAUUUUAUAUUUUAUAUAUAUAUAAAUAUAUGUAUACCCAGAAAUUUCUAGUUUUAUACAAAAUACAUUUCGGAAAAUACUACCUUUUAGUACUCUGUAAUCAAUUCCUGUUUAUUAUUAUUAAUUUUAUUAUUAUUUGAGAUGGAGUUUUGCUCUUGUUGCCAAGGCUGCAGUGCAGUGGCAUGAUCUCAGCUCAUUGCAACCUCUGCCUCCUCAGUUCAAGUGAUUCUCCUGACUCAGCCCCCUGAGUAGCUGGGAUUACAGGUGCCUGCCACCAUGCCUGGCUAAUUUUUUUGUGUUUUUAGUAGAGAUGGGGCUUCACCAUGUUGGCCAGGCUGGUCUCAAACUUCUGACCUCAGGUGAUCCACCUGCCUCGGCCUCCCAAAGUGCUGGAAUUAUAGGCAUAAGCCAUUGUGCCUGGCCAAAUCCUGUUUAUUAGAGUCAUGGCAGUACAAAGGUUGGUGAACUUGGUUCUUUCUAUUUCUGUGCAGCAGGAGGAAGUCCAGGACGUGUACACUGGACUAGAUACCUGAUGCGGCCACUGCUAGCUCUAAAAUUUUUGAUUCCCAAUUUAAAAAAUGAAGAAAGUUUUCAAGAAUGUGUGUUCCUCAAAUUUGGAAUUGCAGUUUGCUAAAGUAAAUACUAAAGUUAGAAAUUAAAACAUUGUAUACCAUUUCUGGCACUGUUUAUCCCAUCUAAUCUAAAAGAUUGUUUAAACAAUUAUGUUUAUAGAAACAACCUCCAGGAGUGUUUACAAAGACACAAAUUUUCUUUGAAAAGCAUCAGAGUAAAAAGAUGUAAGAUUUUCUUGAAACUCUGGUUUGGUAUAGAAUUUAUAACCCCUCCUUCUUGCUUGAUAAAGGCUUGUAUAAUGAGGUGAUGAAACUUCAUAGUGUAUCUUUCGGAGGCUGUUCAACUAGAUUUAUUAACUCAAGCAUGUGGCCCAUUCAGAGGCAACAUUGUUCAUUUAUGGAUGCUUUUGCCUGUAAAAUCCCUUCCUCUCCCUUCUCCAUUAAAACUAAAAAGAAACAACAAGGACCUCCAAUACAUACCUAAUUAUGUAUGGGAUAAUGGGUACACACUCCAGCCAUAUCCCUGGGCAUGUGCUUGAGACUUGUCCCAGAAAGCACAUCCAGCCUCUGGAGUUGUUCAUCGCCUAGACCAGUAAGCCAGACCUAAGGGGAAAUAGCAAAGCAAGGUCACCUGCAAGGAGAAGCGGCAGGCUGCAGGGAGAAAGGACUGGCUUUCACACCUGGUUCUUGGGUGACAUCCAGCUUCUUCAGCAGCCUGCUGGAUGUGUCACCACAAUCUCAAGUAGCUUUCAUUGCUUUUCUCUUUUUGUAUGCCCUUGUAAAGGGUGGGUGAGAUUUCAUUGCUUCUCUGGGCCACCUGUCUUGCUGAUUGUAUCUGUAUGUUGUUUUCUCCCUGUUUGAUGUGUAUGCAUUUAAUUCAGAUUGGAUGCCUACUAUGUGUCAGGCAUUAUGUCCCCAAAAUGCAUAUCUUCCCAUACUUGCCCUUGAGGAGCUAAUGAUAUAGAAGAGCACAUGGAUACCAGAAACAAUUUCCGUUCAUUGUGGCAAAGACUCCAGAAGAGCCAUGUGUAAAGACCAGAAGGUGACAUUUGAGUCAGGUCUUAGAGAAUGUGUUGGACACCCAUUUUUCCAUUAAUAGAAUUACUUUUUCUACUUAAUAGCACUAGCCUGCUAGAAAGAGAAGUAGAAGCCAAUAACUCGUUUUGGUUAACUCAGGAGACUGACAGAACCUAUUAGCUAAAGGCUAAACUCUUAUUUCAAGCAAUUCAGCAAAUAUUCAGGCCUUAAUCAUUUCAGUUAUUGGAGGACAGUGCCAUCUGGAAAGCGGACUCUCUGGAACUUACCCUCAAGUUUCCCUGAUGUAAAGAUAUUCUAGGAAUUGUGUUUGACUUUGGAAAUUCCUAGAAUUAGCUUUGCUUUAUGUUCAAUAGCCCUAAUUUCCCAAUCUUGUGGCAAACACUCAGAAAAUGAACCACAUACUUAAUGUUGCAAAGAUGAAAACAGAGAUCAUUACUGAAGAACCGGUUUUAAUUUAAAUUUCCAAAGUAAUUUUACAAAGUGCAAGAACAUGUGAAGUAAGCUGGCUCCUUGAGUUUGCAGUUCCUUGGAGAGCUGACACUGAAAGCUCAUAGCCUUCUUAGUGCCCAGUGGAAUUCUGUGAAUUUUUUUCAAGUUACUUCUAUGAGACAAACUCAUGGAUGUCAACCAUAUGACACAAUAUCCAUGACUUUCCUGGCUGUACAAAUAGUUCUCUAAUUUGAUGCUAAUAAUAGGAAAUCUUUUUCUUUGGCAAAUACUCUUUUUUAGACUUAACAUUUCAGACACACCCCUCUCCCUGAAAAAAAAAGUUCAAUUUAAUAAUGAUUUUUGUCUGUCUGUGUUUAUUAUACCUGGACCCUGAGAGUACAUUUAUCUUCUGUCAUGGAGUUGAGACAGUAUCUAUUCAGCUGGUUUUCCAGCCCCAAACUUAAGUAGGAUCCUUCACCUGCAGAACAUGGGGCUGGCCUCGCCUUUGAAAGUAGUACCCAUGCUUCAUUUUCCAAUUUGAAACUUAGCAACUGCUUUUUCCAGACCUGAGAGUUUUCCUCCUGCCCAGCUAUUACACACCGCCUCAUUGGAUUCUAAUACAGAUCUGUCACUCCUUCUAGACCUUGAACUCCUUAAGAACAAGGACAGUGUCUCACUUGUCUCUGCAUUCCAUAGUUCAUUAUGAAACGAAGGCCUUUAAGAAUUAUUUGCAAAAUCUGUAUUGCAUUCUUAUCCUAAAAGUUUGUAAAUUGGGCCAUCAAAUGUGUGAAAAAGAGCAAAUACCAUGUAUGCAAAUCUCAGAACUUGACUUCUCAUAAUAAUAGUAAUUAUUAUUAUUGUUUUGAGAUGAGCCUCUAUUGCCCAAGCUGGAGUUCAGUGGUGCAAUCUCAGCUCACAGCAACCUCUGUCUCCUGGAUUCAAGUGAUUCUUCUGUCUCAGCAUCCUGAGUAGCUGGGACUACUGGCACGUGGAACCAUGCCUGGCUAGUUUUUUUGUUGUGAUUUUUCUGUAGAGAAGGGUUUCACCAUAUUGGCCAUGCUGGUCCCAAAUUCCUGACCUUGUGAUCCACCUGCCUCAGCCUCCCAAAGUGCUGAGAUUACAAACAUGAGCCACCUCACCUGGCCAAUUAUUUUUUAAAAAGAAGGCAAACCAGGCUGCAGUGGCUCACACGGUACCCAGCCUAGUUUGCACAGGCAAAUAGGGUAAGUAGGUUGCUUAAAAUUGCCCAGAAAUUAAGUGAUCGUUCUGACCCAAGCCAUUUGGCUCUAGAUGCACAUUCAUAAAUCCCUUUGCCAUCUAUUCUUGGCUUACCUCGUUUAAUUUUCUUUUCCUGAGUCCCUCUAAUAAGUUCUUAGCUUCUGUUCUUUUUCUUUAAAAUUGGCACUCAUCUCUGAUUUAUCACCUCUUCUGUCCCCCUGCCCCUAUUCUCUCCCUCCAUUUUCCCUUAUUCUCUUCCUUCUAAUUCCAUUACUGAUGAGAAUCAUAUUGUGUACCUGAAAUUUGUAUUUCAAGCAGCUUUCUGUCAACAACCAGGAGCUUCCUGCAUCCUGCAACUUUAUAGAACAAAAUGCGUAUGAGCGUUAUAAAUCUCUAAGUGCGCAUGUUCUUACUUUGAUGACUGGUUAAGAGAGUGUUUAAAAAUCACCUCCGAUUUUGAGCUUUGAAUUUGGGCUGGGAAAGAUAAUAAAAGCAAUAUAAAGAAAGGGAAAUGAACUUCAAAACCGGCCGCCUGCUUUUCCCUGUAAGAAGACCACUAUAAAUUGUGGAGAUGCUUCUCAAAUACAAUUAGACUCUGCCGCUGCCUGCCGCAUCUCUCCACACUGCAUCACUGUUCUCGAAAUCACUGAAGCCUCUCUUGGGACACUAGGUAAUCUGAAGAAAGAAUAGAGUGUUCAGGCAACACAAGUUCUACAGAGAACUAAGGCACACUGAUUUGCAUUUCUGGGUCAGCAUGAUUUCACUUUCAUUUAACCCUUGUACUGACCCUUGUUUUUCAACACAUUGGCUCCUUCUGCCUUCUGAGACUGUGUGAUGUGCUCAAGCCAAGAAGGUAACCCAAAGCCUUCAAACCUCUCUCCAUGCCCUCUUCAAAUUUCCUGCCAUCAUUGAGGUCCUUUCAGUGAGGAAUUGGCCAACAUUUUAAGUGUCUCUGGAUGCAGGUUUUAUUCACCUUUAAUAAGGUAGUUUUGUGUGUUAAUGUAAAAUGAAAUGAAUAUUAGAAAUCACAUAUUCAGAUAUGCUUGUGGCUGCCAGGGUUUUGUAUUUCCAGCGUGAUUGUUAUAUUCUCUCUAAUCUCUCUCUCUCUCUCUCUCUCUCUCUCUCUCUCUCUCUCUCUCUCUCUCUCUUUGUCUCUUUGGUAGGAGUAAUGCUGAGAAUCUUAUGAAAACCCACAGUGUGUCAGAAGGACAGACAUGACAUAUUUCUAUUUGUCUUAUUCACAGUGAAAUUUCCAGUAAGAGAGAGCAAAGACCCCCAACAAGACUUAAUUACUUGCACCUUAACAAGUGCAGGUCGUUAUUUGUUUAUGUGCAAUGAGGUCCACUUGGCUGGAAGAACCUUGUAUAAAAGUAAAGGUGCAUUGCAGAAUGCAAAGUGCUGGAUAAAUGCUGGCUAUGAACCCAAUGUUAAAAUAAUUGAGAUGAAAUGUUGAUUAAUUAUUUGCCCAAAAGAGGUUUACCUCGAUCAGUAAGAAUAAUGUUAUUGCUUUUUUUCUUAAUUGUAAAAGUAAUAGCUGGAUGCAGUGGCUCACGCCUGUUAUCCCAGCACUUUGGGAGGUGGAGGCAGGCAGAUCAUUUGAGGUCAGGAGUUUGAAACCAGCCUGGCCAACAUGGUGAAACCCUGUUUCUACUAAAAAUACAAAACAAUUAGCCGGGCAUGGUGGCAUGCACCUGUAAUUCCAGCUACUUGGUAAGCUGAGUCAGGAGAACUACUUAAACCUGGGAGGUGGAGGUUGCAGUGAGGUGAGAUCACACCACUGUACUCCAGCCUGGGCGACAGAGCAAGA